AGUGAACGCUGGCGGUAGGCCUAACACAUGCAAGUCGAACGGCAGCACAGUAAGAGCUUGCUCUUACGGGUGGCGAGUGGCGGACGGGUGAGGAAUACAUCGGAAUCUACUUUUUCGUGGGGGAUAACGUAGGGAAACUUACGCUAAUACCGCAUACGACCUACGGGUGAAAGCAGGGGAUCUUCGGACCUUGCGCGAUUGAAUGAGCCGAUGUCGGAUUAGCUAGUUGGCGGGGUAAAGGCCCACCAAGGCGACGAUCCGUAGCUGGUCUGAGAGGAUGCUCGCCCCCAGUGGAACGGGGACACGGACCGAACCCCUGGUGGAGGCACCACGGGGAAAUGUUGGAGACGGGCCGGAAGCCUAUCCCCGCAAACCCGGGUGGGUAAAAGAGACCUUUGGGUUGUAAGGUCCUUUUGUGGGAAAAAAAAAAAGCCAGGUUAAUCCCCCCGUUUUUUAACGGUCCCCAAAGAAAAGCCACGGCUAAAUUUGUU
rnacentral:rRNA from 1 species